rnacentral:tRNA from 3 species
GGGCCGGUAGAUCAGCUGGAAGAUCGCCACCUUGGCAUGGUGGAGGCCUCGGGUUCAAAUCCCGACCGGUCCA